rnacentral:sRNA from 1 species
GCUGGGCAUGGUGGCAUAUGCCUGUAAUCCCAGCAGCUCAGGAAGCUAAGGCAGGAGGAUUGCGAGUUCAAAGCUAUCCUCAGCAACAGCAAGGCGCUAAGUGAAAAGUAAUUCAGUGAGACCCUGUCUCUA